UGGCAGCUGCUUUCAGCUUCCUCGCAUUAUUAAUCUUGUAGUGUCCGAUUGUGAAUAUUUUCCUCAAAAAAACGUAUUCUCGUUUUCCCUCCCUUACAUCACAUCAUAUAUCGGUGCUCGUACACGAUUGUGGAAUCCGAAAAAUGAGAAAAAAAUUUGUGAAUUUCAUCUUUUGUAAGGGAUGCCGGCGACGAGGUUAAAGUCCCGAGUGACGUGUCCGCAAGAACGUCGAAAUGGCAGAAAAAGUGAGGGCAGCGCGAAAAAAGAUCAUGAACGGAGUGACGCUGGGAUGCGCGUCUCUUUCAUAUGCAAAUUUAAACUUAACAAAAGUGCGACUGAAUAAUGCAGUCGCCCGCGGUGUCGGCUGGAUUUUAUUUCACUGUUCAAUACCACUAAGAGUUACUGCUGUGCCAUGUAUAAUAAUGUAAUAAAGGGUGACAACACCGUCCUCCAAUUAUUUAAACAAGAA